CAGUAGCCCGGGAAUACGUAGGGUGCGAGCGUUAAUCGGAAUUACUGGGCGUAAAGGGAGCGCAGGCGGUUUAGUAAGUCUGAAGUUAAAGGCAUUGGCUCAACCAAUGUAUGCUUUGGAAACUGUUAGACUUGAGUGCAGAAGGGGAGGGUGGAAUUCCAUGUGUAGCGGUGAAAUGCGUAGAUAUAUGGAGGAACACCGGUGGCGAAAGCGGCUCUCUGGUCUGUCACUGACGCUGAGGCUCGAAAGCGUGGGUAGCGAACAGGAUUAGAUACCCCAGUAGUCCCUGUCUCUUAUACAC
rnacentral:rRNA from 1 species